UGGCGAACGGGUGAGUAACGCGCGAGGAACCUGCCUCAAAGAGGGGGACAACAGUUGGAAACGACUGCUAAUACCGCAUAAGCCCACGGGUCGGCAUCGACCUGAGGGAAAAGGAGCAAUCCGCUUUGAGAUGGCCUCGCGUCCGAUUAGCUAGUUGGUGAGGUAACGGCCCACCAAGGCGACGAUCGGUAGCCGGACUGGGAGGUUGAACGGCCACAUUGGGACUGAGACACGGCCCAG
rnacentral:rRNA from 1 species